GCCAGCUUGCUGGUGGAUUAGUGGCGAACGGGUGAGUAACACGUGAGUAACCUGCCCUUAACUCUGGGAUAAGCCUGGGAAACUGGGUCUAAUACCGGAUAUGACCUUCCAUCGCAUGGUGGUUGGUGGAAAGCUUUUUGUGGUUUUGGAUGGACUCGCGGCCUAUCAGCUUGUUGGUGAGGUAAUGGCUUACCAAGGCGACGACGGGUAGCCGGCCUGAGAGGGUGACCGGCCACACUGGGACUGAGACACGGCCCAGACUCCUACGGGAGGCAGCAGUGGGGAAUAUUGCACAAUGGGCGCAAGCCUGAUGCAGCGACGCCGCGUGAGGGAUGACGGCCUUCGGGUUGUAAACCUCUUUCAGUAGGGAAGAAGCGAAAGUGACGGUACCUGCAGAAGAAGCGCCGGCUAACUACGUGCCAGCAGCCGCGGUAAUACGUAGGGCGCAAGCGUUAUCCGGAAUUAUUGGGCGUAAAGAGCUCGUAGGCGGUUUGUCGCGUCUGCCGUGAAAGUCCGGGGCUCAACUCCGGAUCUGCGGUGGGUACGGGCAGACUAGAGUGAUGUAGGGGAGACUGGAAUUCCUGGUGUAGCGGUGAAAUGCGCAGAUAUCAGGAGGAACACCGAUGGCGAAGGCAGGUCUCUGGGCAUUAACUGACGCUGAGGAGCGAAAGCAUGGGGAGCGAACAGGAUUAGAUACCCUGGUAGUCCAUGCCGUAAACGUUGGGCACUAG
rnacentral:rRNA from 1 species